CCUACGGGUGGCAGCAGUGGGGAAUAUUGGACAAUGGGCGAAAGCCUGAUCCAGCCAUGCCGCGUGUGUGAAGAAGGCCUUCGGGUUGUAAAGCACUUUCAGUGGGGAAGAAAGCCUUGGGGCUAAUACCCUCGAGGAAGGCCAUCACCCACAGACGAAGCACCGGCUAACUCCGUGCCAGCAGCCGCGGUAAUACGGAGGGUGCGAGCGUUAAUCGGAAUUACUGGGCGUAAAGCGCGCGUAGGCGGUCUGAUAAGCCGGUUGUGAAAGCCCCGGGCUCAACCUGGGAACGGCUUCGGAACUGUCAGGCUAGAGUGCAGGAGAGGAAGGUAGAAUUCCCGGUGUAGCGGUGAAAUGCGUAGAGAUCGGGAGGAAUACCAGUGGCGAAGGCGGCCUUCUGGACUGACACUGACGCUGAGGUGCGAAAGCGUGGGUAGCAAACAGGAUUAGAUACCCGUGUAGUC
rnacentral:rRNA from 1 species